GCGACGCAGGGCUGCACCCCGCUGCGGCGGGCGGCGGGCGCUCCCGCUCGCCCCUCCAGCUGCGUGCAGUUGGGAGGGGAGGGGGGCGGAAGGAUCCGGUACUAGGCUUAGACUGCUCGCGGGCUGCACAGCCUGCGCGGCCGACUCGUAAGUGCGGAGCCGAUGAAUGAAGCGUUUUUGUCGUCCCGCGGGUGCUGGCGGGCACCGCUCCGCACACCCACGCAGGUUCCUGGUCGCGAGAUUCGGGCCCCCUCGCCUUGCAGGACUGCUUUGUGUUGCACCGUUCAUGUGUAGGAGCGGACGAGAGAUAACGCUUGCACAAGAUUUGCCUGGAGAAGUCCGUUCUUCCCAUGGUGGGAAACCUGCGUUUUUCCAAUGUGGUGUCCAGACUUUGAAACUGAUGGACCCACCUCAUUGCACCUCUUCCUUGGGGUCUUUUGCUGACCCAGAACCCCUCCAAGAAAAUGAGCCACCAAACCAAUAAAGAUUCAACCAACUACUUGUAUUUCUCCCCUCUUUUAGGUCUAGUAGAGGAAGCAAUCACUCACUAAAGAAUAUCAUCCAAUGAAAAUCUAAGUUCUUUAUUUUGUGGUGACAAAUUCAAACACAUUUAUAAAUACUCAUUUUGCUAUUUUAUCUGAACAUUGGUUGAAAGUAGAUUUCACUGUACUGGCAAUAUUUGUGGGUUAAAAAUAGGAUAUGGGAAUAUUGUUAUGCCUUAUGCAAUUCUGAGAAAGUUUCCAUAAUAAUCUUACCAUACCCGUUCCAAGAAAACAAGUCUGGUUGUCCUGUUUGGGUGUCAAGGAUACAACCCCACUGGCAAAGUCACGGUUCAACUGUACAAACAGGCAUUGGGGCUUACUAGUACAAUGUUUUGCUGCUGUAAAAACCAAACUUGCAAAGCCACGGUCUGAAAAACAGAUUUCUUUCUAUGUUUUUAAAUUAAAAAUUUAUUAUAGACACUGUGGUUUAGAAAACUGUUGCUGCUAAGUUUCAUGCAUACCACAUGCUAGCACCUCACUUCCAUCUGAGGUAUCACUCCACUAGUAUCCCUGUGUCCCCUUCCCGGUCCUACCCUUCCUUCUCCUCGCCCCCUCCUGCACCAUCCACACACACACCGUGGUAUGUUUUCUACUAAGACCAGUUCUCAGUUUCUGUUGACUUUGGACAUUUGUUAUCCCCCUGAUAUGUUCUCACAUGCAAGAAAGACCAUUCUGAGACUGACCAGUUUUCCCAACACCAUUUGUUGAAGGAGCCUUCCACUUCAUACUUUUUGCUCCUUUAUCAAAGAUUAACUGUCCAUACUCUAGAGGGUCUGUCUCCAGAUUCUUGAUUCCAUUACACUGAUCUGAGAGCCUGUUUUUAUGCCAGGACUACACUUUUUUGAUCAUUACACUUUUAUAGUAAAGUUUGAAGUUGGAGAAAGAGAAGCCUACAUCAUCUUUUUAUCCCCCGCCUUGAAUCCCUGUUGUUACUGGGGUGGGAGUUAUUUCCCUACAUAAAUUUAUGGGCACUUUCAUAAGAGCUACAUUGAUUCUAUACAAUGUUUUGGAUGAGAUUGUCACAAUACUAAAUUCCCAAGGUCUCUUGCGAAGACAUGUGGACACAGUAUACUAUAAAAUUCCCCCCAUAGAUAACUCAACCAUCAGUGCUCACAGUUCCCUUGCUAAAGAAAAUGAGUUUCUUGACCUUUGCACAGCGGCUUGGCUGCGGAACGAGCAGAAUCCAGAGGCAGCUAUAUGACUUGGGGUUCCAGCGAGUGCUUGCAACCAUGUAUCCAAACUGUGAACUAAGCUUUUGCCCCACGCCGGCUAACGGAGGAAAUAUCCUUCUUCCUUGGGAGGAAAUAUCCUUCUUCCUUGGUCUCUCUUCCCUCCGGGAGGAGGAGGUGUGGUGUCCGACAUUUUAUGGGACGUUUGAGCAGGUAUGAACUUUGUGGCACGGAAGAAAAAAAAUGUGCUUUGGGCCGAGAUGUGAUCCCGGGGGCCGCAUGCAUGUGCGGCCUCUCCGCAGCUGCACAAGCGUGAAUCCAGACCCAGAAAAACCUCUUUCGGCAUGAGCAACUCCUCGCAGAAUGUCUCCAGCCUGAGAACUAAGCCUCGGCCCCGUGCCCGCCCAGGAGGGGAAAGGUAUUUCUCUCUCUCGCCUCUUUCUCUCCAGGGAUGAAGGGCGCGGUGGCCGCCAUAUUAAGACGACCACAGAUUGGGUUUUCAAGCCUGCAAUUAUCUAAUAUCUGGAAGAAAUCUCCCUGGACUUCUUGUUAAAGUACAGAAAUUCAAAACCGCGUGGCCGCUACUGUGGCCACGCGACCUUAUUUGUCUUCACAGUAGGUCUGAAUCUAGUGGGGUACUCCUAACAACAAUAGUGAGGUUUGUGUUGAAAUAUUGAA